UACGAAGGGGGCUAGCGUUGUUCGGAAUUACUGGGCGUAAAGCGCGCGCAGGCGGUCUUCCAAGUCAGUGGUGAAAGCCCGGAGCUCAACUCCGGAACUGCCAUUGAAACUGUGAGACUAGAGUACGAGAGAGGUGAGUGGAAUUCCCAGUGUAGAGGUGAAAUUCGUAGAUAUUGGGAAGAACACCGGUGGCGAAGGCGGCUCACUGGCUCGUUACUGACGCUCAGGCGCGACAGCGUGGGGAUCAAACAGGAUUAGAUACCCUGGUAGUCCACGCCGUAAACUAUGAACGCUAGCCGUUAGGCAGCUUGCUGCUUAGUGGCGCAGCUAACGCAUUAAGCGUUCCGCCUGGGGAGUACGGCCGCAAGGUUGAA
rnacentral:rRNA from 1 species